GAUGAACGCUGGCGGCGUGCCUAAUACGUGCAAGUCGAGCGAACAGACGAGGAGCUUGCUCCUCUGACGUUAGCGGCGGACGGGUGAGUAACACGUGGAUAACCUACCUAUAAGACUGGGAUAACUUCGGGAAACCGGAGCUAAUACCGGAUAAUAUAUUGAACCGCAUGGUUCAAUAGUGAAAGACGGUUUUGCUGUCACUUAUAGAUGGAUCCGCGCCGCAUUAGCUAGUUGGUAAGGUAACGGCUUACCAAGGCAACGAUGCGUAGCCGACCUGAGAGGGGGAUCAGCCACACUGGAACUGAGACACGGUCCAGACUCCUACGGGGGGCAGCAGUAGGGAAUCUUCCGCAAUGGGCGAAAGCCUGACGGAGCAACGCCGCGUGAGUGAUGAAGGUCUUCGGAUCGUAAAACUCUGUUAUUAGGGAAGAACAAAUGUGUAAGUAACUAUGCACGUCUUGACGGUACCUAAUCAGAAAGCCACGGCUAACUACGUG
rnacentral:rRNA from 1 species